AAACGUUUUGACAAAACAUGGCAUAUCUUCUUCAUCAACCCGCAAGGAAGCCAACCAACUCUGAGAAAUCUCACGAUAUUCCAAUGAUGGUAAUCGUCAUUGCGAGUAUAGCAGGUAGAAAUUAUGUUGGCUUAGAACCUAGCAUAUAGUAAAAAAAAUGCCGAAUAGAUUAAUAAAAUUAUCACUUGAAGCUUCCGAAUUGCUGCUGGCCAGGAGUUGAGAAGUUACUAUUUCCUCCCGCCGAUGUAAAUCCUGACCAACCUAGGUUUGAUCCUGCACCCAUGGCUCUCCCCAUGUAAGAGGACGGAGGCAGCCCUUUCUCUUUUUCGCUAAAGCCAUCAUCAAGACCUCCCACUAUUCCGAUAUCUGCUAGAGAGACCUUUUUGGGAGCAGUUAUGUUCAGAUCAAUAAGCCCACGACUUAAAGAGUCAGCCCAUAU
rnacentral:misc_RNA from 1 species